rnacentral:rRNA from 1 species
UAGGGAAUCUUCCGCAAUGGACGAAAGUCUGACGGAGCAACGCCGCGUGAGUGAUGAAGGCUUUCGGGUCGUAAAACUCUGUUGUUAGGGAAGAACAAGUGCUAGUUGAAUAAGCUGGCACCUUGACGGUACCUAACCAGAAAGCCACGGCUAACUACGUGCCAGCAGCCGCGGUAAUACGUAGGUGGCAAGCGUUAUCCGGAAUUAUUGGGCGUAAAGCGCGCGCAGGUGGUUUCUUAAGUCUGAUGUGAAAGCCCACGGCUCAACCGUGGAGGGUCAUUGGAAACUGGGAGACUUGAGUGCAGAAGAGGAAAGUGGAAUUCCAUGUGUAGCGGUGAAAUGCGUAGAGAUAUGGAGGAACACCAGUGGCGAAGGCGACUUUCUGGUCUGUAACUGACACUGAGGCGCGAAAGCGUGGGGAGCAAACAGGAUUAGAUACCCUGGUAGUCCACGCCGUAAACGAUGAGUGCUAAGUGUUAGAGGGUUUCCGCCCUUUAGUGCUGAAGUUAACGCA